UUGCUCUGGGGGAUUAGUGGCGAACGGGUGAGUAACACGUGAGUAACCUGCCCUUGACUCUGGGAUAACCUCCGGAAACGGAAGCUAAUACCGGAUAUGACGUACGGAGGCAUCUCCUGUGCGUGGAAAGAAUUUCGGUCAAGGAUGGACUCGCGGCCUAUCAGGUAGUUGGUGAGGUAACGGCUCACCAAGCCUACGACGGGUAGCCGGCCUGAGAGGGUGACCGGCCACACUGGGACUGAGACACGGCCCAGACUCCUACGGGAGGCAGCAGUGGGGAAUAUUGCACAAUGGGCGCAAGCCUGAUGCAGCAACGCCGCGUGAGGGACGACGGCCUUCGGGUUGUAAACCUCUUUUAGUAGGGAAGAAGCGAAAGUGACGGUACCUGCAGAAAAAGCACCGGCUAACUACGUGCCAGCAGCCGCGGUAAUACGUAGGGUGCAAGCGUUGUCCGGAAUUAUUGGGCGUAAAGAGCUCGUAGGCGGUUUGUCGCGUCUGCUGUGAAAACCCGAGGCUCAACCUCGGGCCUGCAGUGGGUACGGGCAGACUAGAGUGCGGUAGGGGAGAAUGGAAUUCCUGGUGUAGCGGUGGAAUGCGCAGAUAUCAGGAGGAACACCGAUGGCGAAGGCAGUUCUCUGGGCCGUAACUGACGCUGAGGAGCGAAAGCGUGGGGAGCGAACAGGAUUAGAUACCCUGGUAGUCCACGCCGUAAACGUUGGGCGCUAGAUGUGGGG
rnacentral:rRNA from 1 species